GACGAACGCUGGCGGCGUGCUUAACACAUGCGAGUCGAACGGAAAGGCCCUGCUUUUGUGGGGUGCUCGAGUGGCGAACGGGUGAGUAACACGUGAGUAACCUGCCCUUGACUUUGGGAUAACUUCAGGAAACUGGGGCUAAUACCGGAUAGGAGCUCCUGCUGCAUGGUGGGGGUUGGAAAGUUUCGGCGGUUGGGGAUGGACUCGCGGCUUAUCAGCUUGUUGGUGGGGUAGUGGCUUACCAAGGCUUUGACGGGUAGCCGGCCUGAGAGGGUGACAGGCCACAUUGGGACUGAGAUACGGCCCAGACUCCUACGGGAGGCAGCAGUGGGGAAUAUUGCACAAUGGGCGGAAGCCUGAUGCAGCAACGCCGCGUGCGGGAUGACGGCCUUCGGGUUGUAAACCGCUUUCGCCUGUGACGAAGCGUGAGUGACGGUAAUGGGUAAAGAAGCACCGGCUAACUACGUG
rnacentral:rRNA from 1 species